GGCCACAUCAUGUUGAAACACCGGUUUUCGUAUAAUCACCAAAGUUAAACAAUGCUGAGUCUGGUCAGUACCUUGAUGGGUGACUACUUGUGAAUACCAGGUGCUGUAAG